rnacentral:rRNA from 1 species
GCCCAGACUCCUACGGGAGGCAGCAGUGAGGAAUAUUGGUCAAUGGGCUUACGCCUGAACCAGCCAAGUCGCGUGAGGGAAGACUGCCCUAUGGGUUGUAAACCUCUUUUGUCAGGGGGCAAUUGGCGCUACGUGUAGCGUUAUCGAGAGUACCUGAAGAAAAAGCAUCGGCUAACUCCGUGCCAGCAGCCGCGGUAAUACGGAGGAUGCGAGCGUUAUCCGGAUUUAUUGGGUUUAAAGGGUGCGUAGGCGGACGCUUAAGUCAGCGGUAAAAUUGCGGGGCUAAACCUCGUCGAGCCGUUGAAACUGGGUGCCUUGAGUGGGCGAGAAGUACGCGGAAUGCGUGGUGUAGCGGUGAAAUGCAUAGAUAUCACGCAGAACUCCGAUUGCGAAGGCAGCGUACCGGCGCCCAACUGACGCUGAAGCACGAAGGCGUGGGUAUCGAACAGGAUUAGAUACCCUCGUAC